CAAACUGAAUGGAUGUACUUCGUUCCCGACAUAAAAUCGACUUGUCAUGGAGCGAAAUUUCGUAUAUACUUCUGGAGAUAUUUGCGAUAUUCCGUUGCACGUUGUUGUAAUUCUCGAUCAGUUGGAGUAUACGCAGCGCCAUGGAGACACACAAACAAUGUGAGGCAUUAUUAUAAAUGGUUCAUUAAUGAAGCCUUUCGUCAGUGGUUCAAAAAGAGUGAUCUUGUAUAUUCUACCUGUUAUGAAAUUGACAUUGUUUUAUUUUACAAAAAUUAAAGGGCUAAAAGAGUACAAUGUGUACCUUUAUAUGAAUAUCUCGAUCACCAACUUUGUGAGCCCUUAAGUAUACAGUUCGAUGAGUAACGCAAUCCUUUUCCAUAUUAUCAAUUGGUAUUGAUAUUACCGACUGCUUAUUAUUCAUUGUCAAACUUAAUUCCGCUACAAUUUAACGAAUCGUUAUUGACAAAUGUGUGUAAUGUGUAAUAAAUGGCAGCAUGGACUUUUGUGCAGAAAAUCUCAAAAUAAUACAGCACAUUUUAUCACUACUCAUAUAUAAUGAGAUUGUCGUAAUACGUAUUUCGCUACUCUCAUUUUGUUGUGGGGCUUCAAAUUGAUAAGGAAAUUUUCUCAUUUCUUUCCCGUGAAAAAUAAGAUUAUUAUGUUCAGCAUCAGCAACGACGAAUUCUGAAUUAUAUCCUGGACUAUUAACUGUUAUUGAUACUUUAGAAAAUU